rnacentral:tRNA from 1 species
AUUUUAAGGAGACAGAUAUAUGUGACAGGCUUAAAAUUUGUUUAUGGGCGCCUGCCCCUUUAAAA